CCUACGGGAGGCUGCAGUGGGGAAUAUUGGACAAUGGGGGGAACCCUGAUCCAGCCAUGCCGCGUGUGUGAAGAAGGCCCUCGGGUUGUAAAGCACUUUCAGUGAGGAAGAACGCCUGGUGGUUAAUACCCAUCAGGAAAGACAUCACUCACAGAAGAAGCACCGGCUAACUCCGUGCCAGCAGCCGCGGUAAUACGGAGGGUGCGAGCGUUAAUCGGAAUUACUGGGCGUAAAGCGCGCGUGGGUGGCUUGAUAAGCCGGUUGUGAAAGCCCCGGGCUCAACCUGGGAACGGCAUCCGGAACUGUCAAGCUAGAGUGCAGGAGAGGAAGGUAGAAUUCCCGGUGUAGCGGUGAAAUGCGUAGAGAUCGGGAGGAAUACCAGUGGCGAAGGCGGCCUUCUGGACUGACACUGACACUGAGGUGCGAAAGCGUGGGUAGCAAACAGGAUUAGAUACCCUUGUAGUC
rnacentral:rRNA from 1 species